rnacentral:rRNA from 1 species
UUUAUGGAGAGUUUGAUCCUGGCUCAGGACGAACGCUGGCGGCGUGCCUAAUACAUGCAAGUCGAGCGCAGGAAACUGACGGAACUCUUCGGAGGGAAGGCAGUGGAAUGAGCGGCGGACGGGUGAGUAACACGUAAGGAACCUGCCUCAAGGAUUGGGAUAACUCCGAGAAAUCGGAGCUAAUAC